UGGUGAUGAGGUUGGGUAAUGUGUUAUGAACAGUGGUGAUGAGGUUGGGUAAUGUGUUAUGAAUAGUGGUGGUGAGGUUGGGUAAUGUGUUAUGAAUAGUGGUGGUGAGGUUGGGUAAUGUGUUAUGAACAGUGGUGAUGAGGUUGGGUAAUGUGUUAUGAAUAGUGGUGGUGAGGUUGGGUAAUGUGUUAUGAAUAGUGGUGGUGAGGUUGGGUAAUGUGUUAUUAAUAGUGGUGGUGAGGUUGGGUAAUGUGUUAUGAAUAGUGGUGGUGAGGUUGGGUAAUGUGUUAUUAAUAGUGGUGGUGAGGUUGGGUAAUGUGUUAUGAAUAGUGGUGGUGAGGUUGGGUAAUGUGUUAUUAAUAGUGGUGGUGAGGUUGGGUAAUGUGUUAUGAAUAGUGGUGGUGAGGUUGGGUAAUGUGUUAUGAAUAGUGGUGGUGAGGUUGGGUAAUGUAUUAUGAAUAGUGGUGGUGAGGUUGGGUAAUGUGUUAUGAAUAGUGGUGGUGAGGUUGGGUAAUGUGUUAUGAAUAGUGGUGGUGAGGUUGGGUAAUGUGUUAUGAAUAGUGGUGGUGAGGUUGGGUAAUGUAUUAUGAAUAGUGGUGGUGAGGUUGGGUAAUGUGUUAUGAAUAGUGGUGGUGAGGUUGGGUAAUGUGUUAUGAAUAGUGGUGGUGAGGUUGGGUAAUGUGUUAUGAAUAGUGGUGGUGAGGUUGGGUAAUGUGUUAUGAAUAGUGGUGGUGAGGUUGGGUAAUGUGUUAUGAAU